GCAUUGCUUGUUGUUGCCCUGAGACUAUGUUUGUCAACUCUCAAAAUAGCCUAUAGGGCUGUGAUAUUUUAUAGGAACUCUAGCAAAUGUUGUUUUAAAUUGAUACGAUGAUACUAUAGGUGUAUAGAUCUAGCAUGUAGAUACCAUCUCAUUGUAGACUAUAAUUAUUGUAGCUAUAGCUAGUGCAAUCAUGUAGAUCUACUUGGUUUAAUUAUAUAACGAACCACCCCCUCCCCUCGGAGAUGGUUCUUGAGACAUGCAUGGCACACUGGUACACCCAACGGGACCUUCCUGGUUCGACCCAAAGGUAUUGUGCAUGGAUUCCUGGAGUCUUCAACCAGGUAUUGUCACACACACACUAUCGCCAUUGUAAGUUAAAGGGGAGAGCAGUGCAUUAAUUGCUGUAGUGACUGCAUGUGUCUAUAGAGUGAGGCCAUUAGCUACAUGAAAAAUUCCAAGUAGUCUAUGUAGAUCUAUCUGUAAUUGGUCAAUAGAGCUUAAAUUGGCACUACAGUUCAAUGCCUUAUACUGCUUUGAAACUACUUGAUGCCAAUAGACUAUAGCUGUUUUUAUAUGAUAGAUCUACAUGAUAAUUAUUAUGGAUUCUCUAACAGAUGACCUUUCCCCAAACACUGAAGCUGUUUCAUUCCCCUACUAGAAGACAAAGUGUACAGAGACUAAGACCACCCCCUCUGAGCUGAAAUAGGACGAACCUUGGAGAGUGGGAGGGGCCAGAUCAGAGACCACUACUACUCCACCAAAAGUAGUUGCCUCAUUUCCGAGUCAUCCUAUUGCCACGAAAUAAUGUGAUUGCAGAAUUUGUUUAAUGUUAUAAUGAUGCAUGAAACUGUGAAUAUUAUAGAGUGUAUGUGCGUUUUCAUACCACAUGACUAAACAUAAUAUUCUCCCCCCCCCCAGCAUGCCCUCCCCCCUGGUCCGAGUGAGAAGCCCCCGCCAUGAGACCGAGGGUGGGUACAGUUGCACAGUUACCACCACUCAGGAUCAGGAUUGUCGACUAUUAUACUGAUUAUCUCUGUCAGUACUAUCUAACCCCAUCUGCCACCCCAUUGCAAUACAUGUGCAAUACAUGUGCAAAGGAGAGAUGGUCAUAGUCUCGAGACAUGCUCACUGGUAAACCCAACGGGACCUUCCUGGUUCGACCCAAGGAGGAGUCCUCAACCAUGCCUUGUCACACACACACACACCAUCGACAUGAUAUGGAGGCAGGUUCAAGAGGAUCCCCGUGUACAGAGACCCUGCUGGGGGGUACGGAUUUGCAUCAUCAUUCGAAUUUGACUCUCUGCUCAGUUUAGUUCUGUACUAUGCCACCAACACGAUGGAGAAACAUAACCCUGA